rnacentral:rRNA from 1 species
GGUCAGGUAGAGAAUACCAAGGCGCUUGAGAGAACUCGGGUGAAGGAACUAGGCAAAAUGGUGCCGUAACUUCGGGAGAAGGCACGCUGAUGGUAGGUGAAGUGACUUGCUCAUGGAGCUGAAAUCAGUCGAAGAUACCAGCUGGCUGCAACUGUUUAUUAAAAACACAGCACUGUGCAAACACGAAAGUGGACGUAUACGGUGUGACGCCUGCCCGGUGCCGGAAGGUUAAUUGAUGGGGUUAUCCGUAAGGAGAAGCUCUUGAUCGAAGCCCCGGUAAACGGCGGCCGUAACUAUAACGGUCCUAAGGUAGCGAAAUUCCUUGUCGGGUAAGUUCCGACCUGCACGAAUGGCGUAAUGAUGGCCAGGCUGUCUCCACCCGAGACUCAGUGAAAUUGAACUCGCUGUGAAGAUGCAGUGUACCCGCGGCAAGACGGAAAGACCCCGUGAACCUUUACUAUAGCUUGACACUGAACACUGGUCCUUGAUGUGUAGGAUAGGUGGGAGGCUUUGAAGUGUGGACGCCAGUCUGCAUGGAGCCAUCCUUGAAAUACCACCCUUUAAUGGCUGGUGUUCUAACGUGGGCCCGUAAUCCGGGUUGCGGACAGUGUCUGGUGGGUAGUUUGACUGGGGCGGUCUCCUCCUAAAGAGUAACGGAGGAGCACGAAGGUCAGCUAAUCCUGGUCGGACAUCAGGAGGUUAGUGCAAUGGCAUAAGCUGGCUUGACUGCGAGCGUGACGGCGCGAGCAGGUGCGAAAGCAGGUCAUAGUGAUCCGGUGGUUCUGAAUGGAAGGGCCAUCGCUCAACGGAUAAAAGGUACUCCGGGGAUAACAGGCUGAUACCGCCCAAGAGUUCAUAUCGACGGCGGUGUUUGGCACCUCGAUGUCGGCUCAUCACAUCCUGGGGCUGAAGUAGGUCCCAAGGGUAUGGCUGUUCGCCAUUUAAAGUGGUACGCGAGCUGGGUUUAGAACGUCGUGAGACAGUUCGGUCCCUAUCUGCCGUGGGCGCUGGAGAAUUGAGGGGGGCUGCUCCUAGUACGAGAGGACCGGAGUGGACGCAUCACUGGUGUUCGGGUUGUCAUGCCAAUGGCAUUGCCCGGUAGCUAAAUGCGGAAGAGAUAAGUGCUGAAAGCAUCUAAGCACGAAACUUGCCCCGAGAUGAGUUCUCCCUGACUCCUUGAGAGUCCUGAAGGAACGUUGAAGACGACGACGUUGAUAGGCCGGGUGUGUAAGCGCAGCGAUGCGUUGAGCUAACCGGUACUAAUGAACCGUGAGGCUUAACCUU